CAAAAUAUGUUACAUUCAUAAUGGUGAACCACCCACAUUUUGAGACUUUAGGAACAAUCAAGUUUUUGAAUCAAUAACGUAAUCUCAUCGAAGGUGUGUUGACUUCGAUGCAUCCGCCAAGGCCUUCAAACCAUGAAGUCAAAAAGCUACUUGGGAGCAGUGGGCAGCCACAGUGCAGUGCCCGGGGACCAACUCCAGUCCGAAGGCUAAUGCCUUGGUCAAGGACAGGAGUAUACCUAACCUGACAUACAGUACAUGCCUUUUGGUGGUGGAGGAAACACGAGUAUCUGGAGGAAACCUGCGCAAACAAGGAAAAACAUGCAAACUCCAUGCUGAGAUGAUCCAGCGGGCCAGGAGUCGAACCUGGAACCACCCCCCUAUGAAGCAACUGUGUUAGCCACCAGUAUUUUGAGACAUUUUAGGUAUUUUGCCAUUCUGUUAUAUAAAUUUUAUUUCAUCAGUUUUAUUCCUAAUGUUUGAAGAAAAAACAGAAAAAUAAUACAAAUACAGUUGCCAGAGACAAAUUCUAAAUAUAAAAUGUAAAAGUCCUUACUUGCAAAAAGGCCCAGUCCUCAUGUUAAAACAUUCUCCAUGUUUAUUGCAGUAGUUGGGAUAUUUUUUACAAGGUCCAAAACACUUCCAACUGCCGUUAUCAACCUCAAUAGUGUAGUUAGCAAAAUGCAGGCUGCAGGUUACGUAAGGUCUUAGGUCUGUAAUAUCUGUUUAAAAAUACAAAGUACCAAAUCAAAUAAUUCCUCAGCAACUUAUGGAAAUUGCUUUGGAAUUGAAACACAUUUGAAAACUCACUGAGGUAUAGGUAUGCCUAGGGCUCAACCCCUCCAUAACAAACAAAGGAUCCCCCCAUAAGAAAGGGAAAAGUCAGAAUGCUGCCAGUCAGAAUCCUCCUAGGCAGAAUAGUCAUGAGGUUGUACAGAUACAGCCCUCUCACUCAUCUCCUGCUCCUCAAUUAACAUUACACAAUCAAGCUACAUACGUUUUUGUUCACAGAAUGUUUAUAAAUACAGUUCUCAAAAGUCACUAGAAAUGAGCAUUUAAGUGCUGUUUUUCAAAAAUUUGUUGUGGGGGAGGGGCAUGCCCCUGGCCCUUCAUAGCACUGAAGUGUCGGCUCAGUUGUCAAACACCCUUGAGCUCCAACAAAUAGUGUAAAAGUAUUGAUUUAACGCAUAUUGUAAAAAUAAUUAUUUCACACAAUUGCAACUACAAUUGAAAGAAAAAGUUUGUGAACCCUUUGGAAUGUCUUGGUUCACACACAUUCUUCCAACCUAGAUUGUGAAUGUUUAAAUGAUGCAUUCAGUAUUGACAAGAAGUACAGUAUUUGUUUGUUAUUAGUUUGUAUUAUUAUUAUUCGUUAUUAGUUCGUAACUAGAAUGUGUUUGUCUAUUAUUGUGACUAUUAUUGUGACUGAGAUCACAUUCAGACUACAUUUAAUGAGUAAUUAAUGUGGAAAUCCAGGUAAUUUCAAAGGGUUCACAAACUUUUUAUUGUGACUGUAUGUAUACUGGCAAAACAUGACAAGAAAAAAAAUUAACUACUCAUUUGGAAUUGCACAACAUGCUGUGACAAUAUUAGAGUAAAUAAAUUAGUCACUGUUACUUACUUAAAAUUUUGGUUGGCUGUGGAAUGAUUUCAACCAGUUCAAUUGUAACAUUUCCAAGGGCUUGAGUUAUAUUUUUGUAAUUGGUGAGGUUGUUGAAAAUACUCUCUAAUGUCAGCUCCAAUUCAUUGUUGAGAAAUGCAAUCUGUGAUGCAUUGUUGAGGUAGCUGUAUUCUGCGAGACUGUUGGCAAGAACACUUCCUCUCCUGUAAAACAAUUAAAUGUGAUUAAAAUAAAUAAAAUAAAUGUAAAAUAUAAGUUUGUUCAAAGUGUGGGUGUGCCCAUGCUCAGUCAUGUACACUUGUCUAUAAACUCAAUAAAAUUAUCUUGAGUCUGCCAA